rnacentral:lncRNA from 1 species
UAGGUUUCUCGAAACCACUAGAUUCUGAGAAAUGUAAGCAACGCACAACUGAAUUUGAGUUCCCUUCCAGUUUACUCACUUGUUCAGGCAUAUCAUCUUCAGCAUCACCAUCGUCAUGAAUCGCCUCAAUUGAUUGGAAAUUUUGUGGAAGAAAGCUACCAAAAGUGAGCGGUUCUAAUUCCUUUGUAACCCCAUUUGCAGGUGUGAUGAUCUGUGCAGGAACGGGAGGUGCAGUUUUCCGGCAUCGUGCCAUAUUUUUCGGCACAAUCGCAACCUUGCUAUUGUGCGCCGAGAGCGGGCUGAAGCUUUUUUCUUUGCUUAGUGAGAUUUUUUUUCCUUAAAUAAACUCUACUCUUUUAUUACUCAAGUUCAACUCCUUAAUUAAAGGAAUUCCUUUCCUCUGAUUGAUUCUGAGUUGAUACUGAAUUAUUAUUUUGCCUUACUUACCACAUGUUUUCAAACUAUAAAUACCCCAAUCCUUCUCUUCAAACCAAUGAAAAACUGAGUUCAAAAACACACACACAUACACACUAAGCUCUUUUCUCUUCUUUGCUACCUGCACUACAGCUUGUGUCUAGCUGGUUGAAAGCCAAGGCUAGACUAUAGAAUCCUGCCUUUUUUCUCAAGUAUCUGCUGAUGCUCGAGUGAAUUCUCUGGCUGAUUUCCUGCUUUAUUUAUUCCGCUAGUUGAACUUGCAACUGGUAUAUCUCUAUAAUUUAAAUACUAUUCUCAAAACUUUGUGGUUACUUCUCCCUUUUACAUAACCUCUCACUACAUGUUUUCUCGAAUUGUGUGACUAGUCAUUAGUCUGUUGUACUUUUCUUCAUGCUUCUGCAUCUUUGAAGUGCUGUUAUGCUUUUCUUACCUUUCCCUGAUAUUUAUGUGAAUGCUUUCAUGUGAUCCCAUUCACUUUAACCCCUUCUAUGUAAGAGUAUCAGCCCCAAGUUGGGGAUAGCAUCCUAUUGCCAUCCCUGACUUGGGACCAGCUUCUCUUGAACCUUUACUCCCAUCAGUACCAUUCUCUUAAUCCCCUUUAUGUGUUGAGCUUUGACUAGGGUAUGGUGGUAUCCUAACCGUCACCAGGCCUCUGUCUGACCUCUAAAAGUCUG